rnacentral:lncRNA from 1 species
CGAACGUAUAUUAAAACCAAACGAAUUUACAACUGUACAAUAAUACACACUAUUCUGUUUAUCAUAUAGUACAAAUCUAUACUAUUAAACACCAAAUAUAUAUACAAUACAGUAAAUAUUUUAGUAAUUUGUUCCAAAACAAUAUUUCAACUGUGCUUCCGCACGGGUUAUCCUCUAGUAGAAAGUAAAGAACAUUGUAAAUGAUCCACAAGUAAUCUUAUUCAACAGACGUCUUCCGCACGGGUUAUCCUCUUAUUCAACUGUGCUUCCGCACGGGUUAUCCUCUUAUUCAAUACCCCAUCAUGAUUAAAUAAGAAGUGAAGAAAGUAAAGAACAUUUUAAAUGAUCCACAAGUAAUACGUAAAACUCAUUUAUGAUUAGAAAGAUAUUUGAGCAUUUGGACUUUUCCAAACGGACCAACCCCAACUUCGUUAGAAGCUUUAGAGAUUUUCAAGUCAUGAUUUAGUCCGUCAUUAGCUACUAAGCCUCAGAGUAGAGGCAUGUAGCUAGCUAGGUGUGGUUGGUUGUAUAGCCAUUAGAGGGAGAUAUUAGCCUAACGUAUGCUUGUUGUUCAAGUUGGUGACCGAUGCUCCUGUGUCUCUACACUAGAACAAGACCAUGUCCAUAAGGAUGUCUUGGGAAGAAAUGUCUUGAGCAGAGUCGAUUUGGGUUUCACCAUAAGGAUCUCUAUGUUUAAAGCCUGGUUUAAGAGAUCUUUGUAUCUUUUUC